UUCAGCCCUUUGUAGUCAUUUUUGCUGAUAUUCUGAAUGUCCUGUCCAUACCAGCAGGAUCCCUGUGAAACUGGCUUUGGACACUGUGGUGUAACCCCAGAGCUCUUCGGCAGCUUUUCUGCUUUGAGUGUGACAGGAUGUUCCAGAUCUGGAUUCAUCUACCUCUCUAGAGAACUUGGUAUCCCUUUCAUGAGAAAUGGGAUGUAAAGACGGUAAUCUGGGACUUCUGGGAAAAUGAUGGUGCAGUAUGCAGCAGUGAGCCAGCCUCUGAUACAGAAUCCACACGCUGUAUUACAACAGCUUAGGGAGGAAAAAACGGAAGGAGGUGAAUCCCAGAGACCCAGGAAGAAUCUGAAGGGGGAAUCAUUGGAGCCCACAGAGAAAGUGAAGAGACAGACCUCAACACAGAAAAGGGAGGUGGCAAACUGCACUUCCACCCUGACUCCCAGCUUUCAGCAUGAGAGGAAGCUUGAAUCUACACAGAUACAUUGAGGGCAGGUGACCCCAGAGGCCGCCACACAGAAAUGCAGCAGGGGAAUGGAGCGAUUGAUUCCAUGAACUACAACAGCUGAAGUCUGAAGAAGCAGUAUUUCCUCUGGAUAAACAGAUCAGCAUGAAAGAAACUUCACAUGCAUCUACUGUAGUUGAGGCUGAAUGUGACUUUG